rnacentral:lncRNA from 1 species
CCCUCGUGUUCGAGAUCGGGAGUUCGAACCUUACCUCUUACAAUUAUUUUUUGACCUUGUAUAUGCUCAGUAUACGGACGUAUUUUAUACGUAGAGCCGUAGCUUAGUAGAUUGCUACCGUUUUAGUAAAGAUGGAGUUUUGGUGGUUGGCUAGUAUUCUGUAUGAACAACAGAAAACCUUAAUCGGGAGAAAAGGACUUGCGAUUAAAUUUCGGGACGAAAUUUCUUUAAGGAGGGUAGACUGUAAUACCCCGAAAAAUCCAAAUUAAAUUCCAUGGAUUUUUAUUAUUGAUUUCUCGGUAUUAGGAGCGAGUACGAAGCUUGGAGAAGUUGUGGAAGUAGCUCGAACGAUUUUAUUUUCGAAAUCGAACGUUAUUUAGGGGGUCUCAAAAAGUGACUUUUUAUACGUAUGGAAUUUGGGAAAAUUUCCUUCAUGAAAGUUGUAGAGCUCGUCGAUACGAUCGCGUGCAUAUGUGGAACGCAAUAUUCGGAGUUCGUAUGAAUAAGUUAUGAAUAUUUGAAAAUUGGGAUUUUUCUAUAAAUAGGGGAAAAUUUUCUGAUUUUUUCAUUAAGGACGAAGAAGAUCAAAUUUUGCUGAAUAGUCCCCCUCCGGUUCUCUCUCUCUCGCUCGAAACCCUCCCCAUACCUGCAGACCCGUCGACCCGACCCGGCCCCAGCGUCGCCGUCGCUGCUUCUCCGGCUACAACCCGGCCUCACCGGACUCGCCGUACUCCGUAGAGCCUCCCUCUGGUGUCGUCUUGCUCCGCCGCUGCUCCGAAAGCUGGAUCGAAGGAGCCACAGUUCCGUCGGCGACCCGACCGGAAAACCUAUUUUCCGGCAUCCCCUCGGCCGAUCCUUCCCAUUUUCGUGAUCUCCUCCUCCCCCUGAUCAUCCCCAUGUAAGUCUUUCAUCACGAUUUUGUGUGUAGAACGCUAGAUCAAGGUUUGACUUUUUCGACGUCCCUGAUUUGAUCUAGGAUCUGAUCGUGCGUCCGAGAUUUAAUCCAACUUCAAAGCUUGAUCUAGGACGAUCUAGGCCGAACCGGACUUAGCUCCAGGUAUGAAAGUUGAUCUCCCUUUCAUUUUGAAGAAGUUUGUAGUUGACGACUUUUGCAUCGGAGGUGGUUGACCGCCUCGUUGACCGCCGUGUUGACCACCCACUGACCACCGCUUGUGGCGGCGCGUCGGACCUUAUUUUGAGUUUAUAUUAUCUGGACGAUGAUCUACGCAUCCAUACGAGCGUUUUGAUAUAUUAUAAGGUUAUUUUAGAAAAGGUUGAUAAAUAGUGGAUUUACGUUUUUACGUUUAUCUUCGGUUUUCGAUAUGUGAAGAUCAGACCAUCGGUUUUACUUCAAAUUUUAGUAUGUUGAUCGUAUGACUGUCCCGAUGACUUUGUGAGGUCACGGGCGAAGAUCCGACCGUUGGAUCUUUGUAUAAUUGUGAAAUAGUGAUUCGGAAGGCGAUUCGUGAGAAUCCGACCGUCGGAUUUUCAUGAAAUUUUGUGGAGAUGUUUAUAAGGACGAUUCAGGAAGAUCAGACCGUUGGAUCUUCGUGAUAAUUUUGGAGGAUGAUCCUAAGGGCGAUCCGUGAGGAUCCGACCGUUGGAUCGUCUUUAUUUUAGAAUCCAACCGUUGGAUCGUCUUUAUUUUAGAAUCUGACCGUUGGAUAGUCGUUUAAGUUUAUUUCGUGUUUCGUUUACUAAGCAAAGACCAUACUUGAUUAGGUACUUGACGGUUUGAGUUGACGAGCGUUUGGAAUAUCGUUAUAUUUGAGUUUUUAGAAGACGCAGCUGGAUUAGAGGUGAGUAAAUCUCACGUGGUUCAUAUUACGAACCCAAU